GUGAUUGAUAACCAUUACGCCAGCAUCCUUGCAGAAGCGCGUACCUCGAUCCCCAGGGCGGUAUUAUGCAAUAGGCUAUAACACUCCCGAGGGAGCCACAUUCCUAAAGCUUUUAUCCCGCCCCGAAAAUCGAUGCUGGCCUAAACUAAACGAAGUGCACCGGUGAGAACACCGGAUGAUUCGCCUAGAAAAAGUCUGGUCAUAAAUCCUUCCCUUUCAACAAUUUCACGUGCUAUUUAACCCUCUUUUCAAAGUGCUUUUCAUCUUUCGAUCACUCUACUUGUGCGCUAUCGGUCUCUGGCCGGUAUUUAGCUUUAGAAGAAAUUUACCUCCCAUUUAGAGCAGCAUUCCCAAACUACUCGACUCGUCGAAGGAGUUUUACAAAGGCUAGGCAUUCAACCGUACGGGGCUCUCACCCUCUAAGGCGUCCUGUUCCAAGGAACUCGGAAGAUACCGCACCCAAAACAUCCUCUACAAAUUACAAUUCGGACCCGAGGGCCAGAUUUCAAAUUUGAG
rnacentral:rRNA from 1 species